rnacentral:rRNA from 1 species
AACGAACGUUAGCGGCGCGCCUAACACAUGCAAGUCGCACGAGAAAGGGCUUCGGCCCCGGUAAAGUGGCGCACGGGUGAGUAACACGUGGGUAACCUUCCCUCGAGCGGGGGAUAACCUUCCGAAAGGAGGGCUAAUACCGCAUAAGACCACGGGGUGUGAAUCCCUGAGGUCAAAGCUGGCCUCUAUACAUAAGCUAGCACUUGAGGAUGGGCCCGCGGCGCAUCAGCUUGUUGGUGGGGUAAUGGCCUACCAAGGCGAAGACGCGUAGCUGGUCUGAGAGGAUGAUCAGCCACACUGGAACUGAGACACGGUCCAGACUCCUACGGGAGGCAGCAGUGGGGAAUCUUGCGCAAUGGACGAAAGUCUGACGCAGCGACGCCGCGUGGGUGAUGAAGGCCUCGG